rnacentral:lncRNA from 1 species
CUUCAGUAUAUCCAAACCAUGUGUAUGUCCAGGCGUUGCAAUAUACAGUAAUCCAUUAUCAGUCAUGAUAUUAAAAUCUCAUUCUCAUUAAUUAAAUCAAAGAUUUUAAAUCAACCUCAGAAGUAACAACAUUGUUUUUACCUUCUGUAAAAUGAUUGGAGUUACUGUAUAAUUGCAUACACCCAAUAUAACAUACAUUGCAUGUUCCUCACUGCUACAUUAGUGUAUUUCAUUCUGCCAUAUUUGCAAACUUGAUGUACAUUUUUAUUUUAAUUAAUUAACCUAAUACUUUCUUAAAAUACAUAUAAAACAAUGAAAAAACAGUUCAGACUAACAUUUCAUUAAAACAAACUAACAUAGAACUCUAUUCUUGGCUGUUCUUAAUUCUGGAAUCAGCCUGUGUACCUCUGUUGGCAGACAUAUCCAUGCUCAUUCCCUAAACUGAUCAUAUCUCUUGAAGUUAUCUGAUUCUUAUAACUUUCUGUGUUACGCUGCAUUGCUUGUCUGUCCCCUAAUUUCGAUUUAGCUAAAAUUGCUUUUAUUUGUCUGAUUAUAAGUUUACAAGGAAAGGCUUUAAUUGAUUUAUCUCCACAUGUAUUUUCUCUGUCAAAAUUUUCAAUCAACAAAUUUAAUUUCUCAUUUGCUUUUGAUUUGAUAUCUCGGAUAAAAUAUCUGCAAGAUCUUGAAUAAUGUUGUUUAUUGCACCAAAAACAAAUAACUUUAGGAGUUAUAUUCUGCCCUAUAUUAUCAACUGCCCUAUAUUUAGUUGAAUAAAUUGGGAGGGGCUCAGCUGUCUGUAUCACUCUACACUCUGUCCUAGAAGAAGAAGAAGAAGAAGAAGGAGGGGGACGGGGGCUGUAACAUCUGCACUUCUUUCUCUGCCUAAAGCCACAAGUCGUUUUAACCCCUUCAUUCUUGGUUUCCCUCCUUAAGUUAUCCAAGAACAAAGCUACUUCUGUCAAAGUGCUUUUUUCUCUAGCUACCACAAUUGCAGUUGAAUCUAGAUCUUGAAUUUUUUUCACAAAUUCAUUAAUUAACUGAUCUUCAGAAAAAUCAGCAACAAGUCUAUAUGCAUUUUCAAAUUUUACAAGAAAACUAAAUAUAUCCUCCCCCUUGUGUGGUUUUAGUUUUUCCAACAUUUCAGUGUCUGCAAAAUCAUUCCCUGUUGUUAAUGUUAUUAAUUGUGUUAAUCUGUCUCGCUUAUUUCCAUAUAUUAUUUCACCAUUGUCCUCAAAUUUUACAAUCGCGGUCAGCCUACAUGCCAUUUGAGUCGGCAGCCAUAUUUGAAAUAGUCUAUUCCUUUGUACGUCAUUUAGGCUGUAUUUGUCUAAAUUAGACUCAAACAUUUCAGCAUUAGUGAAUGCAUCCACUGACGUGUCAUAAACUGGAAUACAUUUCACAAUUUUCAUUAAUUGUUCAUGGAUCUUCAAAUUAAGUUUUGCAGCUCUGUCUUGAAAUUUAUAUUUCUGCAAAUCACUCUGUGAGGAUACAUUUUCAGUAUCUAUUGGUUCUGGGAUUAGAUUCUGUGCCUUUAUUUUUCUUGUAUUAACACACACUCGUGCUUAACUUCAUUUCUAAGCUGGCAAAUAAGAUCAUUUCUUAGUUCAACUCUAUCCUCUAAUUCACAGACUGUUUCUGACAAUGUUCUCUCUGUUACAUUGUUACACUGUUCAUUUAAAUCUGAUUUGUCUUCUGUUAACCCAUUCAAAUCUAUUUCUUUUUCUGCUGAUUCUAAAUUUUCUUUACCUGUAUUUCGUUUACAAAUCAAUGCAUUGUAAGUACAGACUAGUUUCAUAACAUUUCUGAUCUUUUUUUUUUUUUUUUUCUUAUUAACAAACAAUUUCUUGUCAAUUUCACUAUUGGCAAUUUCACAUUGUGUGUAUAAAGAUUGCCACAAAACAGCAUCUGAAUAGCUGCUAUUAAAUGCAAACUGCAAUUUACUUUUCUCUGCGAUAUCAUUUAUAAAUUCCACAAUUCAUUUGUUCCAACAAAAUCUAACUUUCCUUAUUCCAACAUGCCAAUAACCUCUUACUUAACAACAUAUACAAGAUUACACAAAGUUCCUAACUAGGUUAUUCGUCCAGCAAAUAUACCUUGUUUCCCUCACAUUCCUCACUGAGUUUACAAGCAUUUCACUCAUUCACCCCCCCUGUAGCCAAUACUCAUAGCAGUCAGAGCAAGAGAAAGCAACAAAGAAGGAGGGGGGAGGAGGGAGGAAGACUUGCAAGCACAAAGUUUUUUAACCAUGUGAUUGCCUAAGCACAGCUCUCCUUAGGACAAAAGAUAGAAUAGGAGAGUAACGAUACAGAUUGUAUAGAUUACAAUUAACAUAUAUGGUACCCAACAAGACAUACACAGACAAAAGCACAAAAUACAGAUGUAAUUAAAUCACAAAGUUCUUAAAAUAAAUGCCGGCUUAUAAUAAAUCAAAUCACACACACAGAAGCACUCAAGCACAUAAACCGCUCCUUUACCAAAGCUUAGCUAUUUAAACUCUUGACCGAGUCUUAAUAAAACAAAGGAACCGCCAGGUUUUUUACCAAACGAGGCCAAAACAUCACUCACUAGCUUCUUUACCAAAGCUUAGCUAAAAUA